UACGAGAGGGGCGAGCAUUACUCGGAAUAAUUGGGCGUAAAGGGUCCGUAGGCAGUAUUUUGUAUGCUUUUGGUAAAAGAAAAAGGCUCAACCUUUUCACUGCCAUAAGAACAGGUUUACUAGAGUAUAGCAGAGGAUAGUAGAAUUCCAUGUGGAGGGGUGGAAUCCGGAGAUAUAUGGAGGAAUGCCAAAGGCGAAAGCAACUAUCUGGGUUAUUACUGACGUUGAGGGACGAAAGCGUAGGUAGCAAACAGG
rnacentral:rRNA from 1 species